rnacentral:lncRNA from 1 species
ACGUCAAGGUCAAGAGCGCGGAGCCGGCUGACUGCGCCGAGGGGCCGGUGCAGUGCAAGAACGGCCUCUUGGUCUCCAGCCCACACUGUGAAGAGCCUUGUGCCCACAGCUGUGCACAUCCUGGGCUUCCUCCACACCUUGUCCAUAAACUGCCCCUCAGCUACCUUCAGACCCAGGAUACAGACGCAGCCUCCAGAAGAAUAAAUGCUCCAUUAGCAGCUGGCUGGAGCUGGCUGAGGCUCUGGCUGGUGACUCUGGCCUCUGGUGUAGACUUCCCUCAGACACUCCAGUUUUUCAGUGUCUUCCUGAAAGUGUGGCUUCGAGACCUGGACCUGGACUAGUCAUGCUGUGGGAGUCUCCCCACUACUUACCCGUGUGCUCAGCCUGCCCCUCCUGGCACAUAAUGUUGACUAAGGCACAGCCCAAGGGGAGGCAGCCACCAUAACUUUCCUAGAUCUAGGGAUAGUUAUUUUUUGUCAUUUUAGAGGCCCUUCCUUCAGGCUGCAUGCAGAACAGAUGCAGGUAGCCAUGAAGCCAAAUCUGGAAGGAGAUGAUGCUUCCUCUGAAGAUCAGAGAACAGAUGCAAAAACUAUUGCUCAAGGAAAAUAAAGUGAAAACGAGGAAAAGCAAAAGAAGAUCUGGAGAGGGCUCUCACCUGACCACAAGCAUCCUGGAGCAAUGAGUUUCAGGCAGGAAGACUCAUCCUGAGCUGAGCUGCUUUUCUUGAAGUUGUGCAAGAACGUCCUGUUGGCUGGGGCAAAUUCAGUAUUUCUUUUCCUGGCCACUGUGCUGGAGCGUGAGGAAAGACUCUCCACCCUCACUCCCAGAUCCUGCAGGAGGCGUGAGAGCGGAUGGAGAUGCAAUGCCUUGGCCCUCAGGAAGCAUCAGAUCUCAAACUGCAGGGUCUGGGGCUGAAGCUGAUGCUGGCAUGGGUGACUCAGAGUUCCUCUAUUAGUUCAAAUAUGUAAUAUCUUUUAGAGCCUAGGACUCAGGCUGGAGGCAAUUCCUUGGUGCCAGUUGGUUAAUACUUUAUGAAUAGUGGUGGGGGAGGGAAUGCCUUGGACUAUUAAUGUCCCCAUGGAUCUGGAUCCUGGAGAACUUCCAGUGUCCUGGAUGGAAUGUUCUGCUUGGCUCAUCUUGCCCAGAGAAGAGCCAGGAUAUGAGAAGAUGGGAGAGGGAAGGGGGAGGUGUGAAACGUGCUGGUGCUUCCUGUCCUCGUGGUGUGAUGGCUGCCCAGGCUGCUCCUUCGAGGCAGGACAGGAUUCCCAUGGGAGAUAUGAGGACCAUGGUGAUUUCCAGGCACCAGUUAUGUCCCAGAGCAUCGUGUGCCUGUGCAGUGGGGUUACUGAUAGUCCAGGCAUCAGUUCAUAUUGUCCUUUAUGGCAGAUCCUGCACAAGGGGGUUCUCUGUCUCUGGACCCACUCUGUCAGCAUGGACAUCCUUUUUCUUUUUCCCUGGUAAGGACAUCAGAAAGAAAGUUACCCCUCCAGUGUUUGGAGUCUUGGAAUCCUUGGCCUGCCUGCAGGCCUCUGAAUCCUCAGUGUGUUAGCCCAAGGUCACCUUAGGUAAAGGAACAUUUCUCCUGGUCUUCCAACACCCUGGAAAGGGAGGCUCUUCAAGAAUAGGAAAUUCUUCCUAGUAUCUAACCUUGGCCUGCAACUAUGCCAUACAUUUAAUUGUAGAAGGUAUGGAAAGUUAGGACUGUGGUGGACCCAGUUAAAUCACUGGACAGAAGCCAUGAGGCAGAGCCAGAACCAGCUUCUGGACUCCCUGCAUGGAGCUUUCUACUAUCCCAGGUUGUUGGGUCCCUUCUCAGUGGCCAAAGAUGCUAUUUUAUGAGCCUUGAGGACAUGACACUAAGUGAAAAAAGCCUGGCCAAAGGGCCACAUAGUGUAUAGUUCUAUUUAUAUGAAAUGUCCAGGAAAGACAAAAGCAUAGAGGCAGAAAGCAGACUAGUGCUGUGGGAGGAAUGGGGGAUUUGGGAGGUGAUGGCUAAGGGGUUAUGGGGUUUUGGGGGAGGUAAUAGAAAUGUUUUAAAAUUGGUUGUGAAGGUGGAUGCCCAACUCUGCGAAUACACUAAAAGGCAUCGAAUUGUAUACUUUAAAUAGGUGAAUUGUAUGCUAUGUGAAUUAUAUCUCAAUAAAGGUAUUUUUUCCCU